CCUACGGGCGGCAGCAGUGAGGAAUAGUGGUCAAUGGCCGAGAGGCUGAACCAGCCAAGUCGCGUGAGGGAAGACGGCCCUACGGGUUGUAAACCUCUUUUGUCGGGGAGCAAAGCGAACCACGUGUGGGGCAUUGAGAGUACCCGAAGAAAAAGCAUCGGCUAACGCCGUGCCAGCAGCCGCGGUAAUACGGAGGAUGCGAGCGUUAUCCGGAUUUAUUGGGUUUAAAGGGUGCGCAGGCGGAGGUGCAAGUCAGCGGUCAAAUUGCGGGGCUCAACCCCGUACUGCCGUUGAAACUGCAUCCCUUGAGUGCGCGCGACUUAUGCGGCAUGCGUGGUGUAGCGGUGAAAUGCAUAGAUCUCACGCAGAACUCCGAUUGCGAAGGCAGCCUACCGGCGCGCAACUGACGCUCAUGCACGAAAGCGUGGGUAUCGAACAGGAUUAGCUACCCGAGUAGUC
rnacentral:rRNA from 1 species